AAUAUUGCGCAAUGGCCGAAAGGCUGACGCAGCGACGCCGCGUGUGGGAGGAAGCCCUUCGGGGUGUAAACCACUGUCAGGGGGGACGAAUUCCGGACGGGCGAAUAGCCCGGACGGUUGACGGUACCUCCAAAGGAAGCACCGGCUAACUCCGUGCCAGCAGCCGCGGUAAUACGGAGGGUGCGAGCGUUGUCCGGAAUCACUGGGCGUAAAGGGCGCGUAGGUGGCUUGGUCAGCGUGUGGUGAAAGCUCGGGGCUCAACCCCGAGUCGGCCAUGCGAACUGCCGAGCUUGAGCACUGUAGAGGCAGACGGAAUUCCGGGUGUAGCGGUGGAAUGCGUAGAGAUCCGGAAGAACACCGGUGGCGAAGGCGGUCUGCUGGGCAGUUGCUGACACUGAGGCGCGACAGCGUGGGGAGCAAAC
rnacentral:rRNA from 1 species